AUAUUACAUCUGGGGUGCCUUUUGGCUGAGAUAUACCCAUAGAACCUGCUCUGGUUAGUACCAGCGAAGGGAGAUAGAAAUAGACAUUA
rnacentral:ncRNA from 2 species